GCUAGAGGAGGCGGCGGCCGCGCGCGCACCGGGCUUUCCUCGAUCGCGGGGAUCUCCAGGGGCGAAGGGAUCGCCGGGGAGGGGGACCGGAGAGCCGCGCCUGCCGCGCGGCGCGCCCCUUUCCGCCCCCUGCACCAUGAGCUGGGGCACCGAGCUCUGGGAUCAAUUUGACAACUUAGAAAAACACACACAGUGGGGAAUUGACAUUCUUGAGAAAUACAUCAAAUUUGUAAAGGAGAGGACAGAGAUCGAACUCAGCUAUGCAAAGCAACUCAGGAACCUCGCAAAGAAAUACCAGCCUAAGAAGAACUCAAAGGAGGAAGAAGAAUACAGGUAUACGGCGUGCAAAGCCUUCCUUUCCACCCUGAACGAAAUGAAUGAUUAUGCUGGGCAGCAUGAAGUUAUCUCUGAGAACAUGACCUCAAACAUCACUGUGGAGUUAGCCCGCUACGUCCAGGAACUGAAGCAGGAGAGGAAAUCGUACUUUCAUGAUGGGCGGAAAGCACAACAGCACAUAGAGAUCUGCUGGAAGCAACUUGAAUCAAGUAAAAGACGAUUUGAACGUGACUGCAAAGAGGCGGACAGGGCACAGCAGUACUUUGAGAAGAUGGACGCUGACAUCAAUGUAACCAAAGCAGAUGUUGAAAAGGCGCGACAACAAGCUCAAGUACGUCACCAAAUGGCAGAGGACAGCAAAGCAGAUUACUCAUCAAUUCUCCAGAAAUUCAACCAUGAGCAGCACGAAUAUUACCACACUCACAUCCCCAACAUAUUUCAGAAAAUACAGGAGAUGGAAGAACGGAGGAUAGUGCGGAUCGGAGAAUCAAUGAAGACCUACGCGGAGGUUGAUCGGCAAGUGAUUCCGAUCAUUGGGAAAUGCUUGGAUGAAAUAGUAAAGGCAGCUGAAUCAAUCGAUCAGAAGAACGAUUCGCAGCUGGUAAUAGAAGCUUAUAAGUCCGGAUUUGAACCUCCCGGGGACAUUGAAUUUGAGGAUUACACUCAGCCCAUGAAGCGCACUGUGUCGGAUAACAGCCUUUCGAAUUCCAGAGAAGGCAAAUCAGAGCUCAAAUUUGGUGGCAAAUCCAAAGGAAAGUUAUGGCCAUUCAUCAAGAAAAAUAAGCUUAUGUCCCUUUUAACAUCCCCCCAUCAGCCUCCCCCUCCUCCCCCUGCCUCUGCCUCACCCUCUGCUGUUCCCAACGGCCCCCAGUCUCCCAAGCAGCAAAAGGAACCCCUCUCCCAUCGCUUCAACGAGUUCAUGACCUCCAAACCCAAAAUGCACUGCUUCAGGAGUUUAAAGCGUGGGCUUUCUCUCAAGCUGGGCGCCACACCGGAGGAUUUCAGCAACCUCCCACCUGAGCAGAGAAGGAAAAAGCUGCAGCAGAAAGUCGAUGAAUUAAAUAAAGAAAUUCAAAAGGAGAUGGAUCAAAGAGAUGCCAUAACAAAAAUGAAAGAUGUUUACCUAAAGAAUCCUCAGAUGGGAGACCCAGGCAGUUUGGAUCACAAAUUAGCAGAAGUCAGCCAAAAUAUAGAAAAACUGCGGCUAGAAGCCCAGAAAUUUGAGGCCUGGCUGGCUGAGGUGGAAGGCAGGCUGCCACCGCGCAGUGAGCAGGGCCGCCGGCAGAGUGGAAUGUUCGACGCCCAGAACCCGGCCACUGUCAACAGCUGUGCUCAGGACCGUGAGAGCAGCCCGGAUGGCAGUUACACGGAGGAGCAGAGUCAGGAGGGUGAGGUGAAGGUGCUGGCCACGGACUUCGAUGACGAGUUUGAUGAGGAGGAGCCCCUGCCCGCCAUCGGGACUUGCAAAGCCCUCUACACGUUCGAAGGUCAGAACGAAGGGACCGUCUCCGUCGUGGAAGGAGAAACACUGUACGUGAUAGAGGAAGACAAAGGUGACGGAUGGACCCGCAUCCGGAGAAAUGAAGAUGAAGAGGGUUAUGUCCCUACUUCGUACGUCGAAGUCUAUUUGGACAAAAAUGCCAAAGGUGCUAAGACUUAUAUUUAAUACCACUUAAAAAAAAACAAAACACAAAAACUGUAAAAAAAAAAAAAAAUGGAGUUGUCUCUCCUUACCACUAGGACUGUUAUAGGCAGUUCUUCCAAAGCCUGGAUGGAGGACACCGGAGUGCAUGUUGUCACAUGGCCACACGGUGGACUUGUAGGCAUCCAUUGAACACCCGAAUUUCCUUGGCUAGUUUUGACUAUAAUCAUGUUUCUCUUGCUCAUGAAAUAUGAUGUGGAAAGCUGCCAACUGCCAAUUUACGGUUCUGUCAUUUGAAAUCUGAUAAACAUUUCGUACUUUGGCAGUAUCUGUAGGUAUCCAAAAAAAGUUGCCUUUAGCUUCUAAUUGGUAUCUCUGGAUUUAAAAGGUCCACACACAUCAGAGGGGCGGGUAAGACUUUGGUUCUCAUAUCUCUAGCAAGCAUCUGCCAUAAUCUGCCAUAAAUUGAACCACCUGAGAAUGUUACAUUUGGUAACUUAACACAUUGAACUACUCUAGGUUUUGGGUUGUUUUGUUUUGUUUUGUUUGUUUUUUAACUACCCUAGUUUGUUUAAUCUUACAGUCACUUGCUUUGGAGGAAGUCGUAAAUAAAACCUUCCCCCCCUGCUUGAAAGAAUAAGAUGAUUCCUAUUUUGGUACUGGAAGUGUAUAGUUUUCCUUAAACGUGUUUAAGAUCAUUGGUAGAUCGUUGUGAUCAUUCUAUCACAUCUGCAUGAUCCCAAACAACUGGUUGCAAUCCGGAGAAGCCUGGUUAACAAUGAACUAGUUGACUUUUUUUUACUUAAGACCACGUAAAAAAAAAAAAAAAAAGGCCACUGAGCUCCCCUCUGCCAUUGACAGGGUUGAUCAGAUUCCCUGGUACUGUUUCGAGAACUUACAAAAAAACCUAGCAUGCUUCUGUUGGAGGUUUGGUGGCAAGUGGAGCUGUAUUCAGCUCACACGUCCCCAGGUGGGGCUGUAAAAAGAAUCUGGUGCAGCAGCUGCUUCGACACGCAGACCCCAGUUCAUCACUUCUCAGAAGUGUUUUGGGUUUGUUAGGUUGUUUGUUUGUUUGUUUGUUUGUUUGUUUGUUUGUUUUAAUCGUGGUAUCUUUAAGACCCAACAUGAAUUCACUGAAAGUCAUUUUAGAAUUGCUAGCUCAUUUUAUAUAAUUAAUCAUUGCCAGACUAAAAUAAAGUAUUUCACCACCUUGAAAGGAAUCUGGGUCACGUGGGGAUGUGCAUUUUUUAAAUUGGCAAGAUUGGUAGUGAAGUCGGUCACAUGCGUAGAUGGGUACCAAGCCCAAUGAUUGUGCCCACUCCAGGAAUCUACCCUGAGAUCGCAGAGAACCAGCUAUGAAUGGCUCACAGUAAAGGUGUCAGGCUCAGAUUUUCUUUUUAUUUGGUUUUGAGAAUUACUUAUUCAUGUCCUUCCUACUUUGAAAUAGAAAAUUAGCUCCUUGCUUUUACAUUGUGAGUCCCUUUUAUAAACUCAAGUCAAUUUAAAGCUGACUUUACCCACUCCUCCCAAAAAAAAGCUGAUUUAUGAAGCAGCAGCAGCUCAUCAGGAGUCUGACACCUGGCGGGAGUUAAAGGUGCUUGUUUGGAUUCUAGCAGAAAGGUCACUACAUGUCCCAAGGACCGCCAGAAAUGGAAUUUAGUAAAUUUUAAUGACAGCCUGAUUUUUUUUAAGAUUUUAUUUAUUUAUCCAUAGACACACAGAGAGAGGCAGAGACACAGGCAGAGGGAGAAGCAGGCUCCACGCAGGGAGCCCGAUGUGGGACUCGAUCCCAGGUCUCCAGGAUCACACCCCGGGCUGCAGGCGGCACCAAACCGCUGCGCCACCGGGGCUGCCCGACAGCCUGAUUUUUAACACACGUUUUACUUUUAAAAAUAAUGAUAGAAAGUUGCAAAGACAGCAAAACCCGAUCGAUCCCUGUGCCCUUCAGCCAGGGUCCUCCAGCGGGGGCUUCUGACAUAACUGUAGUAUAAUACCAAAAGCAGGAAACAGACGUGGGUCAGCCUGCUUUUUGAAAUAUAAUUUCAUGAUUCAGAUUUCUUUUGCCUUAUUCUACCUUUACUGACAUAACAUUGAUAAAGCCAUUCACCCUGGACCCCAGACCUCUCAGGAAAAUCAUUUCUGUUCCCCCUUUUAAAUAUUUGCAGCAAGUAACUCAGCUGACCCUGAAACCACAGGGAUUCCUCUUCAGGAGCAGGGGGCGGUCACAGCACUAGGCAUGGACCCAAGCGAAUGGGGGACCUAAGAUAUUAAAAUCAGAGCUUUCUGUCCAGUGAUGGACUCAGCUCCAGCCUAUGAACUGCAGCAGGAAGCAAACCAAACAGUGAAAAAGCCUUAAAACGGCCAAGACAACAUGAGCCUUUUGAAGCCUCCCUUGGAAAGUAUGGCGUCCGUGACGUUGUUGUGCUUUUACUUUAUUUUUUUUUCCUUAACAAUUGCACCAAUUUGAUUCAGAAAAUGGAUCGGUUGGUUUGUGGGAGCUGGGGGUCGGGUUUGGGCACAUAAGUUAACAUUCAUGAUUUUAAGUUGUGUGCCCCAAGCCUUAGCAGAGACAGCUCAGGGUAGGGACAGAACAGUAAAAGACACUUCACAGCCCAGUGCCAGCCGGUCAGUGCACCCCAAGUAUUCGAAGAAGUCCUGAAACCAUUCCCAAAGAAUCAGAAUCCCCAUUUCUGCCCACCGUAUACUUUGGUUUUCUUUCCUAAAUUUUAUUUCUGAUAAAAUGAAAGAAGCCAAGUCUCAGCUUGUUAAGAAAGUUUUCUCCUUUUGAGACACAUUUAGAGGGGACUAGUGUAUGUGUAGAAGCCUGUCCUCCCCACCUGGUUUUCAAUCUGCUUGGCACCCCCAAGAACACUGUCCCCUCAAACCCAUCCCAGCCCGUGGGGCUGCUGCUUCCCAACGCCCAGAACUCCAAGCAGCUAUUCUGUGCUUGUGCACUUGUGUGUGUGCGUGUGUGUGUGUGUGUUAUCUACGAUGUGACUAUUUAAUAAUUGCCAAAAUAUUUAGACUAGAGGAACGUCCAAUGGGUCAGUUGGUUUGUGACUAUCUUCCUUUAUGAUUUUGGUUUUGUUUUUAAAAUUGUUUUCUUGUUAAAUACGUUCCGUAAUCCCCAGCCCUCAGCCACUCCCCCUCCAGAUAUUUGUACAUACUGCCAUUUAAAAACUAAAAGAUGACUUGAAUUCAUUGUUUUAACGUUUGACUCUUUUAUCUGUUUGUUUUAUUGGUGAUUCUCCUGCCUAAUGACCUUUUUCGUUUUUGUAACCACUGGGGAAGCCGGGAGGACUAGGUCCCCGGCCGGCAGCUCCGCGCUUGAGUUUAUUGUAGACACUUGUGUUCUGAAUUCCUAGAGGCGGCUGCGGAGCCGGAGCCUCGGUGAGCCUUCCCAGGAGAAACCCUUCGGUCUGCUUGUCUCCACAGGCCUGGGCGCCCGCGCGCGCGCAGACUGCUCCCCGGCUGGGCCAGCCGGUGGCCCUGCGACAUCUCAGCCUGAAGCGACAUCCCUCCUAACCUGCCCCUGCCACGCGGCUGCUUGCCUUUUUCAUUCCUUUCUUUUGACAGCAUGCUUCUCGUGGCCCAGCUCCUCCUCCCGUGGCCCAGCCCAGCCACCUCUCCGGGAGCAGGUCUGUCCCGUGUCCUCAUCCCUGUCCCCAGCGUGCGUGUGGGGCCACGGAAGACAGCUAGACACGUGCUCCCUCCUUCCCGGGCCCCUGCCUUGGCCCUUGGUCUACCUGGAGCAUCCUGGCCCAUCCAUGGUUCACACUGUGCCUUUCGUGAAAACUUCGCCACUGGCCUCCCCCUGGGGAGACCGACAGAAUCUGGACAAGGAGGGUCAGGUGUGCUCAGGUGGACUGAGCACCUGAGUGUCAUAGAUGUAUCCCGAGUCCGUUGACCAUUCAGUGAUCCUUUUCUGGUUAUGGGUCCUCACCUUGUACUAGACGACAUUUCAUGGCCUGAGAUUGAUUGUCCAUGGGGGGUCCUGGGGCAGGCACACACAUGCACACACAUGCACACAUGCAUCCCCCUCUGGCUUGCACUCAAGCUCACUCACAUUCACGCACACACUCUCACACACACACACACACACACACACACAGGCAUUUUUAUUUGGGGCCUGCGCUCUGGCUUGGAGAAGUCUCCACUCAAAAUCCAAUUCCAUCUCGAGGGCCACACACAGAAGCUUGUGUCCACCUUCCGUGGGGUCCAGGGAGGACCUAGCCCACCUUCUCCCUGUCAUUGCCCCAUCAAUGAGAAUGAUAGAUCGUGGCACUUUAUAAACAAGCAUCACAGCUCGGCGUUAGCUCGUCACAAGGUGACAAUUCCCAUCUUCCCAUGAAUUCCGAGAUUUGCAUCUUAAAUUUUAAUGCUUUCCUCACCAAAGAGCCUGUGCUACGUGUGGUCCUUCGGGUGAUCUGUGGCGACAGCUUCUGCAUAUGCUCACGUGCCCCGCAGGCCCCAGAGACAGGAUCGAGUUGGCUUUUUGACCUAAGUUUCCUUCUUCUUAUGGAUCCUUGAGGAAAACAUGAGGCCAUGUAGCUCAUGGCCACUCAUGCCUUAGAGCAGCAGUAGCUUCCCUUCUUCUCUGGUGCAGAUACAGUCGAGAGAAAUCAUUGGCUGUGCAUUUCUGUGAAUGAGGCACCAUCCGAAGCCCAAGAAGGAAAUCGGGCCUCUUUCUUCUCUCGUUUGGCUUUUGGUAACUGGGUGGUCAGUUCGAACAUCCUCAAUUCUUCUUGACUUUUAUGAGUCUAAGACAAGGCUGUCUUAUAGGAGCCGAAGGGACCAGGGCAGAAAUGACAGGUGCUAAGGGCUGGGCCUGUGUUCAGUGGCCCCCAAAGAGUGGUUCCUCUCAGCAAACCAGGGUUGAUCACACCCCACCCUCUGAGAGCAGCUCAGUGACUAGAAGCCUCCAGCCAGCAAAUGCCUGGGGUAAAGCAGGUAAAGAGGAAGUGGCUUUGGGUUUGAGCCGAGCCAGCCAGCAUGAGCCCCUCCUCUUCUGUCUCUUUCUGUCUCUGUCUCUGUUCGUCUCUUGCCCUGAAGGGGGGCUAGGCCCUUGGGUUGAAGACUACCAGCCUCCCUGCCGGAGCAGCAUACACCAUGGGUGUCUCGGGGCUGCUACAUGGGCAACAGUGCCCCUUCCCCAUGGCGGUGGCCCACCUGUAGCGAGCCACCCCCCACCCCAUCUCGUGAGAGGGCUGGCUUGGCCGAUGCCCUAGAAGCCGGGCCUCCCAUGCAUCCCUGCAAAACCCACAGGCGUGUGGUUAGGAUGGGCAGUCCUGGCGGCCCCACAAAGGGCUCCUCCUCCAGCGGGUGGGUGGAUGGUCAGGAAUCUCCAGGGCCUUCUGAAUCUCACCACCCCAAGCUGGCCACUCUCCUCCGCUCCACAAGGAUGCUAAAUGGUCUUUUUAUAAAAUUGAUUUUAGAGCCUCGGUAAUGCAUGUGCGUUGCAUCUUUCAUAUUCUGGGUCAGGAUAGAUUAAUUUCUCGCAAUGUAGAGAAAAUGGUAUAAGCUGCAGUGAUUUGUUCUUUUAAUGUCUGUUCAGCCCACUAUAGAAUAUGCUCGUAUCUUGUAACCCCUGUGCAACCUCCCCCUCCAUUUUUUUUCCUUCUGUACCACCUGUGUCCAGAAGAGAAUGGAUCAUAAGCGCUUCUCAGUGUUAACCUGGGUGUUUGCCUCCCAGCCAGUCUGUACAGCUGCAUGGGAAGGGCAAUGCUGCAAACCCAAGCUCAUUACAGGAGAUAAGUUAUUAUAGGAUAGUUGAACUGUAUCAUUUACUCUGGGAAUCCUCCUGGGAACUCAUCUAUAUAUGAGUAUGGACCAGUUCACGUAGAGUAGAGACGGGGAACUUUCCCAUCUGCUUCUCAGCUCCCCCCUCACCCCCCCCAUGCCUGUCGUGUCUACGCCCAUGCUAGAAUAGUGUUGUUUUUAAGAAUGACUAAGUUUUAAAGCACCUGCCCUGAACAUGACCUGAAAACAAAAUGAAAGAGAGGAACUUGUCAUUUACCCAGUUUUUCCUUUGCAAGAUAAAAAAGCAUGGAAAGCUGUAAUGGGAUUUUCCUUUUGGUUUUUAUCGUACUCACCUCCGGGCUCAGGCCAGAUAAGCUGAGGCUUACUUAUCUCGCUAGCCACAGCAGAGGCCCCUCAUGCCUUCUGGUGACAUCUGUAACUGCAGGAGAAAGUUUACUGAACAUGAAAAAGUUACAUUGAUGCUAAGUAUUUUUCCAGAAAUCUUAGUUUCAUACUUCCUCAUGCCUCUGCCUCCCAUGCUUGUAUCGUCACAACACUUCUUUAAAGAGUGAUCCAAAAUUCUAUUUUAAUCUGAUGUUGAGCACCUUUAAACUUUCUGGUUUAUUUGUGUGUGUGGCACUAAUCCUAAACUUUGAAGGCAUUUCAGUGUUGUCACGGCCCAUUGCCAUUGUGAAGUUUCUGGAACUGCCCAUUUGUCUCUGGAGAUGGAAUUAAACCAAAUAAAGUGCUUCCAUUGGAAGGCUUAUAUAUUGACCUUGUAACUAUAUGUUAAUCCUCUAAAUGUUAAAUAAAAGUAUAAUCUCUGUUA